CAAGAGUGUGUAUGAGAGAUGCUGCAGUUAAAAAGUCCGUAGUCAUAGAAGGGCAAAGAGAGAUGCGAGGUCUCACAGUGCGAUGAUGGAGGAGCCGAUGGGGAACAUAGUAUACCAGGGCGAGAGAUGAAAUGCCAAGACCCCUGGUGGACUGAGCGAGGCGAAGGCGAUGUUCUUGUAGGCAUUCGGUGAUCAAGGACGAAGGCUGGAGUAUCGAAAGUGAUUAGAUACCGCAGUAGUUCCAGCAGUAAAAGAUGCCGACAUGCUCAUUGGACACAGUGGGCAGGGAGAAAUCUUAGAGUUCGGGCUCUGGGGAUAGUAUGCUCGCAAGGGUGAAAAUUAAAGAAAUUGACGGAGCUACACCACAAGGAGUGGAUUGUGCGGCUUAAUUUGACUCAACGCGAGGAAACUUACCAGGGCCAAGUAUUGUGUAGAAACGAGCAAUACAGGAGUGGUGCAUGGUCGUUGGAAAUUGAUGGGAUGACUUUGACCUUAAAUGGUUGAAUGAGUGAGAUCUUUUGGACAUGUUCCGCACGGAACAGGAAGGAAAAGGCUAUAACAGAUCCGAGAUGCCCUCAGAUGCCCUGGGCUGCACGCGCAAUACAAUAGCAGGUAGAGAGAGAGACAGGAAGGUGCUCAGAUGGACUAUGUGCUGUAAGGCACAUACGAAAGAGGAAUUCCUAGUAAGUGUGU
rnacentral:rRNA from 1 species